UAGGGAAUCUUCCGCAAUGGACGCAAGUCUGACGGAGCAACGCCGCGUGAGUGAAGAAGGCUCUCGGUUCGUAAAACUCUGUUGUUAGAGAAGAACAGCGCAUAGAGUAACUGUUAUGCGUGUGACGGUAUCUAACCAGAAAGCCACGGCUAACUACGUGCCAGCAGCCGCGGUAAUACGUAGGUGGCAAGCGUUGUCCGGAUUUAUUGGGCGUAAAGCGAGCGCAGGCGGUCAAUUAAGUCUGAUGUGAAAGCCCCCGGCUCAACCGGGGAGGGUCAUUUGAAACUGGUUGAAUUGAGUGCAGAAGAGGAGAGUGGAAAUCCAUGUGUAGCGGUGAAAUGCGUAGAUAUAUGGAGGAACACCAGUGGCGAAGGCGACUCUCUGGUCUGUAACUGACGCUGAGGCUCAAAAGAGUGGGUAGCAAACAGG
rnacentral:rRNA from 1 species